GAGCCGCUAGCUCAGCUGGUAGAGCACCGCCCUUUUAAGGCGGGUGCCCUGGGUUCGAGUCCCAGGCGGCUCA
rnacentral:tRNA from 1 species